GACGUAGGGCGCGAGCGUUGUCCGGAUUUAUUGGGCGUAAAGAGCUCGUAGGCGGUUUGUCGCGUCUGCUGUGAAAACUCGGGGCUUAACCCCGGGCCUGCAGUGGGUACGGGCAGACUAGAGUGCGGUAGGGGAGACUGGAAUUCCUGGUGUAGCGGUGAAAUGCGCAGAUAUCAGGAGGAACACCGGUGGCGAAGGCGGGUCUCUGGGCCGUAACUGACGCUGAGGAGCGAAAGCGUGGGGAGCAAACAGG
rnacentral:rRNA from 1 species